AAGCGAUUCACCGGUGUGGAAGGGCGCAGGAGGUAUAUGAUGAUGCACAGACAAAUACACACAGUUUGGCC
rnacentral:rRNA from 1 species